CAAUGGAUAGGCUUCAGAGUGAAUUGGAGUAAGCCUAAACCACUUAAGACGUAGCUCCACUGUAAACAAGCUAAUGGCUCUUUGUAUAGUCAACUGGAUUCAGUUCAUGAGGUUGAGUCAAAGAUAUUUCAGAUAGACAUAAAAAAGAUUCAUGAAAAUGCUCUUCAAACCACAGAUGGUUAACCAAGUAAGUUUUUAAAGGAUACCAUGCUGAAAAGGGGAAAACUUGAGAGAGGAUGAAUUCACCAUAUCCAAUAUUGAAGUUCAACAGCCAAGCUGCUUCAUGGCCUUUAUUUUAUGCUCCAUAAGGAGGAAGCAGGAAGGAUUGUCAAAAAGAAGAUAUGGUAGGAGUGUUGACACAAGUAUAGAAAUGGAGAGAGAGAGAGAGAGAGAUGCAGAAGGAGGAAAGUACAUAGUUUGUUCGAAUGUACAAGUGCAAAGAGAGAAAGAGAGUAGAGAUCAAGAGUUGAAUACAUAGCAUUACAGUAUAUAAGGAACUACAUCUCGAGACAGUUGGACCAACCAGACAUUACUGAGUCUCUCACUCUCACUGUGUCCGAGAGAAGCUGAGCCUCAGAAUCUACAAGAUGAGGAACCUACUGAUAUUCACCAUCCUCUCCUUCAUGACUGGUUGUGAGCUGCCUUGAAGUGGAAGGAUACUCAGGAGGAACUGCCAUCUUCAACUGUAAAUACCCAGACGCAUAUAGAAGCAACCAGAAAUGUUUCUGGAGGAAGUCCAGCCAGAGUUGUGAAGAGAAAAUUAGCAGUGAGACAAAGAACCCCUGGGAGAACAAGGACAUAUUCUCUCUGAAAGACACUGACAGUAAACUCUUCACGCUGGUCAUUGAAAAACUGGAUUAUAGAGAUGAAGGAUGCUACUACUAUGAUGCGGACACACCAGACACGUCGUCAACUUGCUGUAGGACUAAGGUGGAGCUGGAAGUAAAGGAAGAUAACUGCUGUAGGAGAUCAUUCACAGAGACUGCUUAUCUGGGAGGAAUCGCUACCAUCAGCUGCAAGUAUCCAAAUGACCAUAAGGACAGAAUCAAGUAUUUCUGCAAAAAAGAUGGUCACUUCAUCUGUAAAUGCAAUAUGGAUUUACAAUCUAGAAAAGAAUUUAACGAACAAGGUCCAUUUUUUUGUGUCUGACAAGAGAAGGGAAGAGAGAGAGUCUUCACAAUGACCAUCACCAAUCUGACUGGGGAGGAUACAGGGAUAUUCUGUUGUGGCGGGAAAACUACUGCCUACAUUGACCUGAUCACUGAAGUACAACUUAAAGGUAUUAAUGCGCCACCCAAGACCACCGCAGUGACCACCACCGGAGUGACCACCACCACAGUGACCACCACACUGAACACCAUGUCUCCUGCAUCUUCAUCCAUGUGACCAUCAACACUAAAACAAUGUACCUUUGAUAAGUACAUUUGGUUCUAGGGCAGGUAGCUUAGCAGUUAAGAGCAUUGCUUUGGUUGCUGGUUCAAAUCCCCAAGCCAACCACAUGAAAAAUCUGCUGAUGUGCCCUUGCCACUUAACCCUAAUUGCUCCUGUAAAUUGCUCUGGAUUAGAGCGUGCCAAAUGACUAACCCUAACCCGUACCCUAACCUUAACCCUAACCUCAACCCAAAAACCUAACCUUAAGCCUAAACCUAACCCAAGCUACUAACCCUAACCCUAAAACUAACCCUAGCUCCUAACCCUAACUCUUCACAUAAUUCUAACCCUGUCACUAAUUCUAAUCUUAAACCACCUAGAAUUAGCAUUUGACCUCGUGGGGACUAAGAAAAUGACCACAGGAGCUGCCUCCUCAACACACAGGGGUGGCCAUGGUGCAAUAAAACUGCACCCCCUACAGCUAGACUCAGGUCCGGUGACCACAACCAAUUUACCUACAAACCCAUCUGACUCACUUCACUACGCCAGUGUCAACUUCCACAAGAACCCCAGGAGGCACAACAAAGCCACCGCUGCCAUCGCUAAAGAGGGCACUUCUUCCACUGAAUACGCCACUGUGAACUUUGGUCGAAGCCUGCCUACUCACCCUGACCAAUGAAUGACAUGAUAAAAAUUGACCUCUAGCCUACUUCUACUGCUUCUCAAUCCUAAGUGAAUACAAUACAAUAUAAUCAAAUACAAUACAAUAAAAUGCAAUACAAUGGAAUACAAUAAACUAAAAUACAAUAAAAAAUAAUACAAUAUAAUACACUACAAUACACUACAAUAUAACACAAUACAGUAUAAUACAAGAAAAUACAAUAUAAUUUAAUACAAUAAAAUAUAAUACAAUACCAUUUUUGGGUAUUUGGUAUUUUAUUAGGAUCCCCAUUAGCUGUUGCAAAAGCAGCAGCCACUCUUCCUGGUAUCCACACAAAACAUCAAACAUGACAUAAUACAGAACAUUAAUAGACAAGAACAGCUCAAGGACAGAACUAUAUAAAAAAAAAUAAAGGCACACAUAGCCUACAUAUCAAUGCAUAAACACAAACUAUCUAAGUCAAAUAGGGGAGAGGUGUCAUGAGGUGUUGCUUUAUAUGUUUUUUAAAACCAGCGUUGCUGUUUAUUUGAGCAAUAUGAGAUGAAACGGAGUUCCAUGCAAUAAUGGCCCAAAUAACAUUGUACUCCUUAUUGAAUUUGUUCUGGAUUUGGGGACUGUGUAAAGACUCCUGUUGGCAUGUCUGGUGUGGUAUGUGUGUAUGUGUUAGAGCUGUGUGUAAGUAUACUAUGCAAACAAUUUGGGAUUUUCAACACAUGUUUCUUAUAAAAAGAAGAAGUGAUGCAGUCAGUCUCUCAUCAACUCUUAGCAAAGAGAGACUGGCAUGCAUAGUAUUUAUAUCAGCCCUCUGAUUACAAUGAAGAGCAAGACGUGCCUCUCUGUUCUGGGCCAGCUGCAGCUUAACUCGGUAUUUCCUUACAGCACUGGACCACACGACUGGACAAUAAUCAAGAUUAGACAAAACUAGAGACUGCAGAACUUUCUUUUAGGAGUGUUGUGUCAAAAAAGCAGAGCAUUUCUUUAUUACAGACAGACCUCUCCCCAUCUUUAGCUGUGAUUGUGAUGCAUACAUUGUUGAAUCAUCAGCAUACAUGGACACACAUGCUUUGUUUAAUGCCAGUGGCAGGUCAAUGGUAAAUAGAUAAACGAGUAGAGGGCCUAGAGAGCUGCCCUGUGGUACACCACAGUUUACAUGUUUGACAUUAGAGAAGCUUCCAUUAAAGAACCCUUUGAGUUAUAUUAGAUAGAUAGCUCUGAAUUAUAUUCAGCAUUAUAUUUGGUUAAAUACAAUUUUUUCCAACUAUUUGCUAAGAGCUGGCAGCAAGCGUAUAGAUCUGCUGUUAGAACCAGUAAAGGCCGCUUUGCUACUCUUGGGUAGCGGAAUUACUUUGGCUUCCCUCCAGGCCUGAGGACAAAGACUAUCCUCUAGGCUAAGAUGAUUGAUAUGUCAGAUAGGAGUGGCUAAUGAGUCAGCUACCAUCUUCAGUAGCUUUCCAUCUAAGUUAUCAAUGCCAGGAGAUUUGUCAUUAUUGAUCGAUAACAAUAAUUUUUCCAUCGUUCCGACACAAACUUUACAAAAUUAAAACUUGAAAUGCUUUUCUUUCAUUAUUAGUUUUUUUUAUGCAUGAAUACAAUGGCUCACUGUUCGUUGUUGGCAUUUCCUGUCAAAGUUUACCCACAUUGCCAAUGAAGUAAUCAUUAAAAUAAUACAAUAUAAUACAAUGAAAUAAAAUACAACAUAAUCAUUGCACUUCCCAGUCUUGUUAAUGAAUAACUUAAAUUUGUCUUCUGCCUCUCCAGUCUAAUGUCUUGAAAUGUAAUAUUUAAAUAUUUGAAAUAUACACACUUUGUGCUGCACUGAA